UUUUAUUUGAGAGUUUGAUCCUGGCUCAGGAUGAACGCUGGCGGCGUGCCUAACACAUGCAAGUUGAGCGAUUUACUUCGGUAAAGAGCGGCGGACGGGUGAGUAACGCGUGGGUAACCUACCCUGUACACACGGAUAACAUACCGAAAGGUAUGCUAAUACGGGAUAAUAUAUUUGAGAGGCAUCUCUUGAAUAUCAAAGGUGAGCCAGUACAGGAUGGACCCGCGUCUGAUUAGCUAGUUGGUAAGGUAACGGCUUACCAAGGCGACGAUCAGUAGCCGACCUGAGAGGGUGAUCGGCCACAUUGGAACUGAGACACGGUCCAAACUCCUACGGGAGGCAGCAGUGGGGAAUAUUGCACAAUGGGCGAAAGCCUGAUGCAGCAACGCCGCGUGAGUGAUGAAGGCCUUCGGGUCGUAAAAC
rnacentral:rRNA from 1 species